rnacentral:tRNA from 1 species
GAGGGUAGAGCUGAGUGGUCAGAGUACAUGCUUAGCAUGCAUGAGGUCCUGGGUUCAAUCCUCAGUGCCUCCA